rnacentral:rRNA from 1 species
UACGUAGGGUGCAAGCGUUAAUCGGAAUUACUGGGCGUAAAGCGUGCGCAGGCGGUUCUGUAAGACCGGUGUGAAAUCCCCGGGCUUAACCUGGGAACUGCAUUUGUGACUGCAUAGCUAGAGUACGGUAGAGGGGGAUGGAAUUCCGCGUGUAGCAGUGAAAUGCGUAGAUAUGCGGAGGAACACCGAUGGCGAAGGCAAUCCCCUGGACCUGUACUGACGCUCAUGCACGAAAGCGUGGGGAGCAAACAGG